rnacentral:rRNA from 1 species
CCCUAACCGNGCGAAGGNAGCAUAAUCACUUGUUUCUUAAAUGGGGACUAGUAUCAACGGCAUCACGAAGACUACACGUCUCCCCCCUAAAAUCAAUGAAACUAAUCCCCUCGUGAAGAAGCGAGGAUAUAAAUAUAAGACGAGAAGACCCCAUGGAGCUUUAAACAAACCUCAACUGCUCCCUCCCUGAUCAUAGAAAUUGAGCAUUAAUGACGGGUAGUUUUCGGUUGGGGUGACCGCGGAGUAAAACAAAACCUCCACAAUGAAUGUAAUAAAAUACUAAUAAAAGAACCACAAUUCUAAUAAUCAAAAAAUUGACAUAUUUGACCCAAACACUUGAUCAAUGAACCAAGUUACCCUGGGGAUAACAGCGCAAUCCAUUUUAAGAGCCCUUAUCGACAAAUGGGUUUACGACCUCGAUGUUGGAUCAGGGUAUCCUAGUGGUGCAGCCGCUACUAAUGGUUCGUUUGUUCAACGAUUAAAACCCUACGUGAUCUG